UUGGCUGUCCUGCACUUUCUCUCUCCAUCACUUUCUCUCUCUUGCUCUGAAGGUUUCGGCAAUGGCGACCGGCAUAUUGAGAAGAGCCAUUUCUAGGGUUUCGUCCACGCAGGCAUCGAAGUUCGUUCCUUUGCGAUUCUUGGCUUCAGAAGCGGAGGCUCAGCAAGUGGAGCCCAAGGCCCAAGGGAGCACGAACCUCAAGACCUUCUCAAUCUACCGAUGGAACCCCGACAAAUCGGGGAAGCCGGAGCUUCAGAACUACCAGAUAGACCUCAAAGAGUGUGGACCCAUGGUCCUCGACGCUCUGAUCAAGAUCAAGAACGAGAUCGAUCCGACGCUCACGUUCCGGCGCUCUUGUAGGGAAGGGAUCUGCGGGUCCUGCGCGAUGAACAUCGACGGCUGUAACGGCCUUGCGUGCCUGACGAAGAUUCCCUCGGGAUCGUCCACGAUGAUCACGCCGUUGCCGCACAUGUACGUGAUCAAGGAUUUGGUGGUGGACAUGACCAAUUUCUAUAACCAGUAUAAGAGCAUAGAGCCGUGGCUGAAAAGGAAGAGCCCGCCGUCGGUGCCGGGGAAGGAGGUUCUGCAGAGCAAGAAGGAUAGGGCCAAGCUCGAUGGGAUGUACGAGUGCAUCCUCUGCGCCUGCUGCAGCACAUCCUGCCCAAGCUACUGGUGGAAUCCUGAGUCCUAUUUGGGACCCGCUGCUUUGCUCCAUGCCAAUCGGUGGAUUAUGGACAGUCGUGAUGAAUAUACAGAGGAGCGAUUGGAAUCGAUCAAUGAUGAGUUCAAGCUCUACCGUUGCCAUACCAUAUUGAACUGUGCAAGUGCAUGCCCAAAGGGCUUGAACCCUGGAAGGCAGAUUCAGAACAUUAAGAAGCUUCAGCCAUCUAAGGGCCACUAAGUUGAAUACUUGUGAAGCUUGGGUGCAACAAUGAGUGCGACACAGCUUGCUGCAAUUGCGACAUUAAGAAACAGCCACCGCUUUGUGUGCAAUGCUGUCUGGACGAGCCUUGACUUGAAGGUAAAAGACCAAUGUUGUACAAGAAACGCAGCUAGCACUUCAAAUGGAUUUGAAGUCACUUGGACAACUUGUUCAACCGUCAUUAGUUACUACAGUCCAGAAAAUUAGUUGUUCAAGUUUAGACGUUUUCGUUCAAAGUAUUCAACUAUUGUAUUUGUUCAUAUCAUGUCCUAAUGUCAUUUGGAUUUCCUUUCCCCUGAACAAUUGUAUUUGUGAACGAAGCCUAGGAAAAGC